CGCUGACAGAUAAAGAGAAGUGUUUUUAUCGUCUGGAAACCAAAACACCCAUACAAAAAUGGCGACACUUUCACUUCCACUCUCCCAAAACACUCUCUUUCUUCCCUAUUCUUCUUCAAAACGCCGCCAUUUUCUCUCCCAAGACCUUCUUCACCCACCCAUCAAGAUCAUCACUUGUUCUGCUAAGAGAGACCAAGUUGAUUUCUUUUGUUCUAUGCCAUUGAAGGAGCUUCAAACUGUGGCUUGUGGUCUUCUUGCUGCUUGGGCUGUCACUACUGCUUCACCUGUAAUUGCUGCUAGCCAGAGGCUGCCCCCACUUUCAACUGAGCCCAACCGUUGUGAAAAGGCAUUUGUUGGGAACACAAUAGGUCAGGCAAAUGGUGUUUAUGACAAGCCAAUUGAUCUUCGCUUCUGUGAUUAUACAAAUGAAAAAUCAAACCUAAAGGGGAAGUCUCUUGCUGCAGCACUAAUGUCAGAUGCCAAGUUUGAUGGUGCUGAUAUGUCAGAAGUGGUGAUGUCAAAGGCUUAUGCUGUUGGAGCUAGCUUCAAGGGUGUGGACUUCUCAAACGCAGUUUUAGAUCGGGUUAAUUUCGGGAAAGCCAAUCUUCAAGGAGCUGUAUUUAAGAACGCUGUACUAUCAGGCUCCACUUUUGAUGAAGCUCAAUUGGCAGAUGCUGUUUUUGAGGACACCAUAAUAGGAUACAUUGAUCUUCAGAAGCUAUGUACAAAUAUAACCAUUGAUUCUGAAGGAAGAGCUAGUCUCGGCUGUCGGUGAUUUCAGUUUGUUUUCCUUUCUCUAUUUCAUUAAUCUCUAUGUUGGCUACGAUCAUAUAUUGACAAUUAUAGAUUGAUUUCCAGUGAUAUAGAUAAUCAUGUUCAUUUAAGGCUAUCACUGAUUCAUCCUAACCAGAGGCAACUGAUGUCUGCUGAUUCAGUUUUAUAGACUUGAAGUUGCUUAAUUUCUUUCAUGAUUACACUGAUGCUUUGAAAUCAUAUAGGCUUCAAUUGGCAAAGGGGUUAUUUGGAUGAAUCUAACUAUUGGC
rnacentral:misc_RNA from 1 species